rnacentral:rRNA from 1 species
GAUGAACGCUGGCGGCGUGCCUAAUACAUGCAAGUCGAGCGAACAGACGAGGAGCUUGCUCCUCUGACGUUAGCGGCGGACGGGUGAGUAACACGUGGAUAACCUACCUAUAAGACUGGGAUAACUUCGGGAAACCGGAGCUAAUACCGGAUAAUAUAUUGAACCGCAUGGUUCAAUAGUGAAAGACGGUUUUGCUGUCACUUAUAGAUGGAUCCGCGCCGCAUUAGCUAGUUGGUAAGGUAACGGCUUACCAAGGCAACGAUGCGUAGCCGACCUGAGAGGAUGAUCGGCCACACUGGAACUGAGACACGGUCCAGACUCCUACGGGAGGCAGCAGUAGGGAAUCUUCCGCAAUGGGCGAAAGCCUGACGGAGCAACGCCGCGUGAGUGAUGAAGGUCUUCGGAUCGUAAAACUCUGUUAUUAGGGAAGAACAAAUGUGUAAGUAACUAUGCACGUCUUGACGGUACCUAAUCAGAAAGCCACGGCUAACUACGU